AUUGAACGCUGGCGGCAGGCCUAACACAUGCAAGUCGAGCGGAUGAGAGGAGCUUGCUCCUCGAUUCAGCGGCGGACGGGUGAGUAAUGCCUAGGAAUCUGCCCAGUAGUGGGGGACAACGUUUCGAAAGGAACGCUAAUACCGCAUCGGUCCUCCGGGAGAAAUUGGGGGAUCUUCGACCCUUCCGCAAUGGGAUGAGCUUAGGUCGGAUAAGCUAGUUGGUAGGGUAAAGGCCUACCAAGGCGACGAUCCGUAACUGGUCUGAGAGGAUGAUCAGUCACACUGGAACUGAGACACGGUCCAGACUCCUACGGGAGGCAGCAGUGGGGAAUAUUGGACAAUGGGCGCAAGCCUGAUCCAGCCAUGCCGCGUGUGUGAAGAAGGCCCUCGGGUCGUAAAGCACUUUAAGUUGGGAGGAAGGGCUUACAGCGAAUACCUGUGAGUUUUGACGUUACCGACAGAAUAAGCACCGGCUAACUUCGUGCCAGCCGCCGCAGUAA
rnacentral:rRNA from 1 species